rnacentral:rRNA from 1 species
UGGGCAACCUGCCCCUAGCUCUGGGAUAACUGCGGGAAACUGUAGCUAAUACCGGAUGUGACACGAGACUGCAUGGUCUUCGUGUGGAAAGAUUUAUCGGCUAGGGAUGGGCCCGCGGUCUAUCAGCUUGUUGGUGGGGUAAUGGCUCACCAAGGCGACGACGGAUAACCGGCCUGAGAGGGCGACCGGUCACACUGGGACUGAGACACGGCCCAGACUCCUACGGGAGCA